ACAGAGUACAGUGUAGUGUACAGUGGCAGUGUACAGUUUUCCUAGUCUUUUCUCUGUGUGUGUAUACUGGAAAGCGGUUGGGCAUGUCGUGGUAUGCUCUGUCACAGAGUCAACAUACGCAAUUAGCUAGUAAAACAUAAUGAAAAAAGUGUUUGCGCUUUGCUCUCUGGCUCUCCUUCUACAUGUGGACCGAGGCGACAAUUUUCUUCAUUAUCAGUUUGACAUGGACUGAUCACUCAGAAGGCAGAGCAGACAUGAUCUGAGCAACUGGAAGACAGAGACCCAACCCAAGGGCCCGAGCUGUGGAUUUAAAUGCUGCACAUUGGAGCCUUUACGUUAGCCAGUCGGCUUGCUUGUUGGUUUGUUUGCGCUAGUGUUUGCUCUUGGGUCACAGGGGAGCCUGGAGUCUGUCCCAGGGGGACUCGGGGCACAAGGCGGGGGACACCCUGGACGGGUUGCCAACCCAUCGCAGGACACAAUCGCACAUACAUUCACACACUACAGACAAUAUGGAAAUGACAAUCAGCCUACAAAGUGUGUCUCUGGACUGUGGGAGGAAACCUCUGAAGCAAGCGGGGGCAACCCCAGAGAUAUCAACACAGGCUGCAGUAAUAUAAAGAGUAUGUAUGUCAUAAUAAGCACAUAUAAAGAAUAAAUACUGUAUAUGUGUAGAGAGUAGUAUGUAUCGUUACAUUAAUACCAAAAUUUAAGAUAUGUACACAAAAGAAAUGGUCAAAAAGUGUUCGGGUUUUGUGCAUAGGUUAAUAUCAGUGUGUGGCCCAGAGUUUGGAUGUUGGAAGUGUUCUUGUUUAAUGCUGAACAACUUCUAGAAAUACUAUUAGACUAUACAUGUUAGAAAUGGUCUAGAAAUAAAGAAUCUAACAUUAUUAGAAACAUAAACAUAAAAUCCAUCUGCACACAAAUACUCACGCUGUUUGUAGUUCAGGGUCACAUCUCUAAUAGACGCAGCUAGCCUGCUAACCCUAGACAGCUAGCUAAAAUAUGGUGUAGAGAACAUAACACUUAGUAAUGUUUUCCCCCAAUCUGUGUUCCCUAUGUAUUUUGUCUAAUUUUAUUCACCAUGUCAUCAGCAUGCCAGCUAAAACCCACACUGGAGUAUAAAAAGACACAGAUCUUGUGAGCCGAGGGCUCGAAUCACUCACGCUCACCCGAUAUGUUUGAAAUACAAAAAUUUGCAGAAAUGCACCAACACCUCCCAUUAUAGUCACCAAUCAUGAGUUCUGUAGCUCAACUACUUCCCAGCAAAUUCCCCAACAAGGACAAAUCUAGCCUUCACUAGGUUCUGAGAACAAAUAAAUAUCUUGCUUGUUUAGCAAUAAGAUAAGAUUAGUAAAAAAAAAGCUAACACUCCAUCAGUCCUGAAUCCUUUUUCCUCUUAUAGGACAAUAUCAGACUCUUAUUCACUAUUUUCAUGAAAAGAAAAAUGAAUAUCAUCUAAUUAGUUCUGUAGUUUGUGCUACACAAUAAUACUAAUCAA